GGCAGCUUCGCCGCACCUCCGGCGUCCAUCGAGGGGUGGGGCCACGGGGCUCCGCCCCUGCAUCUCGGUCCCGCCUCUUUCCCCGCCCCGUAGUCCGCCGAGGCCUCCGAGUCGGCGCUGGAGUGUCCUCCCGCGGUCGGGGGCGGGGAGCGCAGACCCCGCCCUGAAGUUCGCCCUCCAGCCCCAGAUGAGUGGGGUAUUUGCCCUGCAGAAGUCCCCACCGGUGUUCCGGUCGCUGCUGGGGACUCGAGGAGGUCAUUUGGCUUCUCACGAGCCCCGUAUCUAACGGAAAAGGAAUAAAGCUGAUUGCAGCAUGUGGCCCAGAAGUCCGCAAGGUGUUCCUUAUACUUCACCUUAGAAUCGAAGCUGUCUCCCAACUGCAGGCCCUCUCUACAGGGGCUGAGCCUGUCCAGGAAGCUGACCAGAGGGAUGGGAAGACACCCUCCCACAGGCUGGCAGAUCUCAGAGGAGACUCAGCCUCUUGGCCCAGGAAAGCUCCGCAUGGGGAGAGGAAUUUCUGCGUCAUAGGGUUGGCAUGCACAGGAGUCCCCCAGCCCCAUCCACAGCUUUCCUCUCUGUGGUUCAGUUACCUGCAAUCAGGAGGAACCAGAAGCAGAUGAUCCUUCUCCUGACUGAUGGUCAGAAGGUCAGCGGGAGCCUAAUGCUACAUCACAAGGCCUAGGUCAUUCCCUCCCCUUCAGCUCAUCACGUAGGCAUUUUAUCACCUCAUGUCAUCACAGGAAGAAGGGCUCUGUGCCCAGCACGGAGGCCAGCGUGGGGCUUGAACUCAUGACCCUGAGAUCAAGAUCUAAGUUGCGAUCAAGAGUUGGGACGCUUCAUCAUGAAGUAUGAUCUGUCCAGAAAGGUCAAUAUUGCCACUAUUGAGAAACACCUGACUUUUCAAUGUUCACUGAGGAUUACUAUUGUACCACUUCAUUUAAAUGCUGAAACGUUACCACUGGAUUUGUCUUUCCACCAUCCUACUGCCAUGUUCCCUUACAGGAGUUGACAAGCCUGUGGUUAGUGAGCCAGGUCCAGCCUGCUACCU